UGCGCAGGCGGUUUUGUAAGACAGGCGUGAAAUCCCCGGGCUCAACCUGGGAAUGGCGUUUGUGACUGCAAGGCUAGAGUAUGGCAGAGGGGGGUAGAAUUCCACGUGUAGCAGUGAAAUGCGUAGAGAUGUGGAGGAAUACCGAUGGCGAAGGCAGCCCCCUGGGCCAAUACUGACGCUCAUGCACGAAAGCGUGGGGAGCAAACAGGAUUAGAUACCCUGGUAGUCCACGCCCUAAACGAUGUCAACUAGGUGUUGGGUGGGUAAAACCAUUUAGUACCGGAGCUAACGCGUGAAGUUGACCGCCUGGGGAGUACGGCCGCAAGGUUAAA
rnacentral:rRNA from 1 species